ACAAACUUGGUCAUUUAGAGGAAGUAAAAGUCGUAACAAGGUUUCCGUAGGUGAACCUGCGGAAGGAUCAUUAUUGAACACCUUUCAGGGGAAACCCCUUCGCGGGGGGUUCCCCGUCCACACCAAACCCCUGUGCACCUUUCUCGACGGGAAAUGCGGCUUUGCGGCCGCAAAGUACCGUCGCCGUCUCACAAACGCUCUGUAAACGUACAUGGAAUGCAUACGCGGUGCUCCGCGACUAAAACACAAAACAACUUUCAACAACGGAUCUCUUGGCUCUCGCAUCGAUGAAGAACGCAGC
rnacentral:misc_RNA from 1 species